rnacentral:rRNA from 1 species
AUUGAACGCUGGCGGCAUGCCUUACACAUGCAAGUCGAACGGCAGCACGGGGGCAACCCUGGUGGCGAGUGGCGAACGGGUGAGUAAUACAUCGGAACGUGCCCAGUAGUGGGGGAUAGCCCGGCGAAAGCCGGAUUAAUACCGCAUACGACCUACGGGUGAAAGCGGGGGACCGCAAGGCCUCGCGCUAUUGGAGCGGCCGAUGUCAGAUUAGGUUGUUGGUGGGGUAAAGGCCCACCAAGCCGACGAUCUGUAGCUGGUCUGAGAGGACGACCAGCCACACUGGGACUGAGACACGGCCCAGACUCCUACGGGAGGCAGCAGUGGGGAAUUUUGGACAAUGGGGGCAACCCUGAUCCAGCCAUGCCGCGUGCGGGAAGAAGGCCUUCGGGUUGUAAACCGCUUUUGUCGGGGAAGAAAUCCCUUGAGCUAAUACCUCGGGGGGAUGACGGUACCCGAAGAAUAAGCACCGGCUAACUACGUGCCAGCAGCCGCGGUAAUACGUAGGGUGCAAGCGUUAAUCGGAAUUACUGGGCGUAAAGCGUGCGCAGGCGGUCGUGCAAGACAGAUGUGAAAUCCCCGGGCUCAACCUGGGAACUGCAUUUGUGACUGCACGGCUGGAGUGCGGCAGAGGGGGAUGGAAUUCCGCGUGUAGCAGUGAAAUGCGUAGAUAUGCGGAGGAACACCGAUGGCGAAGGCAAUCCCCUGGGCCUGCACUGACGCUCAUGCACGAAAGCGUGGGGAGCAAACA